rnacentral:rRNA from 1 species
CAAUAGCUGAGGAAAAGAAACUAACAAGGAUUCCCCUAGUAGCGGCGAGCGAAGCGGGAAGAGCUCAAAUUUAUAAUCUGGCACCUUCGGUGUCCGAGUUGUAAUCUCUAGAAAUGUUUUCCGCGUUGGACCGCACACAAGUCUGUUGGAAUACAGCGGCAUAGUGGUGAGACCCCCGUAUAUGGUGCGGACGCCCAGCGCUUUGUGAUACAUUUUCGAAGAGUCGAGUUGUUUGGGAAUGCAGCUCAAAUUGGGUGGUAAAUUCCAUCUAAAGCUAAAUAUUGGCGAGAGACCGAUAGCGAACAAGUACCGUGAGGGAAAGAUGAAAAGCACUUUGGAAAGAGAGUUAACAGUACGUGAAAUUGUUGGAAGGGAAACGCUUGAAGUCAGACUUGCUUGCCGAGCAAUCGGUUUGCAGGCCAGCAUCAGUUUUCCGGGAUGGAUAAUGGUAGAGAGAAGGUAGCAGUUUCGGCUGUGUUAUAGCUCUCUGCUGGAUACAUCUUGGGGGACUGAGGAACGCAGUGUGCCUUUGGCGGGGGUUUCGACCUCUUCACACUUAGGAUGC